CGACAUUCUGAACUCUACUAGCCAUGCCUGCCACCAAAGACGUGACUUUACAGUUAGCAGUGAUUUAGCCGACCUACAUGGUGUGAAGUGAGAGAAUAUCCACCGUUGAAUGUCAGAGCAUGUUAUAAGAGUUUCUGACCUGAAUAAUUCCACUGACAUCGCAACGUUGGAUGCUGGAUGAUUACAGAGAUCCCAGGAUCUCCUCAAAAUCCUGGGUUCAAAAUGAUGCAAGGACAAAGGUUCAAAGACUUCGUGUGCAAGAAUCCAUGCGACGUCUGGAUCCACACUACAACUACAAACUCUUCGGCGUAGAAGAUAUUCUGUGCCAGCCCCCAACAGUCAAAGGCAUAUCUAUGGCAACCAUAAACUCAUAAAUUAAGGCUCUAUGUUGGGGAACUAGGAAGGAAGUACAAAAAUAAAUUAAGACCAUAUUUUUUUCACCCAUUUUGGAAAGGUAAACCCGUAUAUAAUAUAGAACAUUUUAAAUUAAGUUUAAAUAUUUCAUGCUUUUAUUUUUUAUUACGCGCUAGGAAUCAAUUUUGAUUGGGAGUGCUUUCGCUGCCAGCCUCUCCCAGUCAAAAUGGAUUGGGUGUCAAGCGCUGUCAAUGGCAGCCAAUGAGUUAAAUGUUGAUGUUUAUGGCUUGCAAAAAAAAAAAAGAAA